rnacentral:tRNA from 2 species
AAGGCCUUAGUUUAGUAAAAAUGUCUGAUUUGCAAUCAGGAGAUGUGAGUUAAUUUCUUGUAGGUCUUA